rnacentral:rRNA from 1 species
CAAUAGCGUAUAUUAAAGUUGUUGCGGUAAAAAAGCUCGUAGUUGGAUUUCUGUUGAGAGCGACCGGUCCAUACCAUGUAUGCGUAUCUGGCUUGCUCUCGGCAUCCUCUCGAUAGACGUUACUGCGCUUGAUUGUGUGGUGCGGAUCUCGGGACUUUUACUUUGAGGAAAUUAGAGUGUUCACGGCAGGCUUUCGCCAGAAUACAUUAGCAUGGAAUAAUACUAUAGGAUCUUGGUUCUAUUUUGUUGGUUUCUAGAAUUGAGAUAAUGAUUAAUAGGGACAAUUGGGGGCAUUCGUAUCAACACGUCAGAGGUGGAAUUCUUGGAUUGUGUUGCGACGAACUACUGCGAAAGCAUUUGCCAAGGAUGUUUUCAUUGA